CAGCAGCCGCGGUAAUACGGAGGGUGCAAGCGUUACUCGGAAUUACUGGGCGUAAAGCGUGCGUAGGUGGUGGUUUAAGUCCGUUGUGAAAGCCCUGGGCUCAACCUGGGAAUUGCAGUGGAUACUGGGUCACUAGAGUGUGGUAGAGGAUAGUGGAAUUUCCGGUGUAGCAGUGAAAUGCGUAGAGAUCGGAAGGAACAUCUGUGGCGAAGGCGACUAUCUGGGCCAACACUGACACUGAGGCACGAAAGCGUGGGGAGCAAACAGGAUUAGAUACCCCUGUAGUCCCUGUCUCUUAUAC
rnacentral:rRNA from 1 species